AUAUACUUGUAUAUAUAUAUUUACCAUAUAACAGAGAAACAAUUCCAAUAAGACGACGGAUGCUAGGACGGAAUUCAAUUUGAAUUUUAAUCAUUGUUCGGCAGGGGAACAUCCAGCAGCGAUGCAACACGGUGGCCAACUGAGGUUGGCGAAUCUGCCAUUCGUAAUGAUUUCAACAACUUUGUUAGCCUUCCUGAAUCAUCGUUAUUGAACCAGGCCUCGUCAUGACAUUACAAAAUACUCAUUACGAAUAUUCAUUGAGUAAAAUAAUACAUCAUUGAUAGCUGCUUUCCAAAAAUCAAGUAAAUUCAGAAAAUAGCUGUUAUGAAGAGGAAGUGACAACCAUCUUGAAAGUAUACGAUUCAUACUAAAAAAAAUAUUGAUAAAUAAUGGAAUUAUAAAAUGAUCUUAUUGGAUCAAGAACACAAGGGAAAAAAUGUGCAAGAAAG